UUCCCUGGAGAUGGAGGCGGCGGAGCGGCGGCGGCCGCGGGAGCAGGAGCGGCAGCAGCGGCAGCAGGACGAUGGUGGGCAGGUGCUGUCACGAUCCCUGUCGGGACAGUCCUACUGGCUGGACCUAUGGCUCUUCAUUCUUUUCGACCUGGCGCUCUUCCUGUUUAUCUACCUGCUGCCCUGAGGACGCGGCCCAGGGCCAUUACCACCAAGGGAAUUCUCACCUAUUUCGCACCUUAUGAACACAGGCGGUGGAAGAGGAGGACCAUUUGUGCGGGAUGAGCAACUGGGAACACGACUCCGCUUGAAUGUCGAUGGGGGAGGCGCAUUUUUCUCCUGUACUGUGAUAGAUCUCUGCGUGUCACAAGUGUUGCUGUUCAGGUUUUACCUGUAUCCCAUUCGUGUGUCCUAAACUGUGCCUUAAGGGUCACGUACGACAGACUGACUGGGCUUUUGUGAUUAGUACCUAAAGGUUUGGUGUGCAGAAAUGGAAGUAUACAGUGCUUGAAUAAAAUCCACUGAAAGGACAACCCUGCAGAGUGACUGACAAUAAAACGCAGCUCCUGUGUACACUGAA